rnacentral:rRNA from 1 species
GAUGAACGCUGGCGGCGUGCCUAAUACAUGCAAGUCGAGCGAACAGACGAGGAGCUUGCUCCUCUGACGUUAGCGGCGGACGGGUGAGUAACACGUGGAUAACCUACCUAUAAGACUGGGAUAACUUCGGGAAACCGGAGCUAAUACCGGAUAAUAUAUUGAACCGCAUGGUUCAAUAGUGAAAGACGGUUUUGCUGUCACUUAUAGAUGGAUCCGCGCCGCAUUAGCUAGUUGGUAAGGUAACGGCUUACCAAGGCAACGAUGCGUAGCCGACCUGGGAGGGUGAUCGGCCACACUGUAACUGAGACACGGUCCAGACUCCUACGGGAGGCAGCAGUAGGGAAUCUUCCGCAAUGGGCGAAAGCCUGACGGAGCAACGCCGCGUGAGUGAUGAAGGUCUUCGGAUCGUAAAACUCUGUUAUUAGGGAAGAACAAAUGUGUAAGUAACUAUGCACGUCUUGACGGUACCUAAUCAGAAAGCCACGGCUAACUACGUG